rnacentral:rRNA from 1 species
GACAGAGGGUGCAAACGUUGUUCGGAUUCAUUGGGCGUAAAGGGUGCGUAGGCGGCGCGGUAAGUCGGGUGUGAAAUCUUGGAGCUUAACUCCGAAACUGCAUUCGAUACUGCCGUGCUUGAGGACUGGAGAGGAGACUGGAAUUUACGGUGUAGCGGUGAAAUGCGUAGAUAUCGUAAGGAAGACCAGUGGCGAAGGCGGGUCUCUGGACAGUUCCUGACGCUGAGGCACGAAGGUCAGGGGAGCAAACGGG